GCCGGAGAUGCUCGAUGGCCGAGCACUGGACUGUAAACCCAAGGUAGACGUGUGUCUGCAAGUAGGUUCGAUUCCUACCUUCGGCA
rnacentral:tRNA from 1 species